GCCCGGGUGGCUCAGUGGGUUGAGCAUCUGACUUUGGCUCAGGUCAUGAUCUCACGGUUUGUGGGUUCAAGCCCCACGUCAGGCU
rnacentral:tRNA from 1 species